rnacentral:misc_RNA from 1 species
UGUGGGAGCGAGCCUGCUCGCGAAGCUUUUGGCGUAUUCAAGAACGCCUUCGCGAGCAGGCUCGCUCCCACA